CACACAAGAGGAGCGAGGAGAGAGUAGUUUAGCUUUGAGCGGUUCUCAUUACGCAUGCGCGAACGGUUGGAAUUCUUUCCGGCAGCAUCUGCUCAUCCCUUCUGUUCAUAAUAAUAAUAAGCAUUGCCCAGGCACGAAUCAAGGAACCUGAAAGGCACUGCAGACUAACUCAACCAGAGAAGUCAGCCAUAGCAGAGCACCUGAUGAACCAACCAGGACACAGAAAUGUUGGACCGCUCUCACCAGCACCAUGUCAGAGAAGCCAUUGACAUCCACAGACAUGUGGACAAUUUCAACAGAAAGGAGGAAACUAUGAAAAUGAACAACAUCUAGCUACCAGUAUUAAAAAAUUCUAACAUCAGGACAGUCAAUAAAGAACAACACUCAGAAAGCAGAGGAAUUCCAGACAGGAAACAAUCAGCCUCCAACAAUGCCUCCCAACUAAGGAUUCCCUCAGUCAGCAACCAGCCAGGCUUUGAAGCUGCGAGGCCAUUAAAUGCUAAUCAAAGUGAUUGACUAUAACAUUCACACUUGCCUCAAACAGACAGCAGCUCUUUCUCCCAACCUGGACCUUGCACAGAUAUAUAAACCCCACUUGCUUAGUAUUCAACAGACCUCACAACCUCUGAGGAUGCCUGCCAUAGAUGUGGGUGAAACAUCAGGAGAGAAUGCUUCUGGAACAUGUCCAUGCUGCUGCUGCUCAAUCACAUAGUCAUUUCCGACUCUUUGUCACCUCAUGGACCAGUCCACGCCAGAGCUCCCCAUUGGCUGUCGCCGCCCCCAGUUCCUUCAAGGUCAAGCCGUUCACUUCAAGGAUGUCCAUCUCAGAAAACUUACAUCAACCCAGUGAUUCCAGCCAUGGAAGCCUUUGACAACACAAUAAUAAUAAGGUACAGUAGAGUCUCACUUAUCCAACAUUCGCUCAUCCAACAUUCUGGAUUAUUCAACAAGGUCUGCCUCCCACCUGGAUCUCUAGGCAGCAAGGACUGAACUUUUUACGGAUUUAAUUUUCGACAAUGUUGUUACUAUAUAACAGAAAUACAGUGUCGCUCACUACAGCUGCUCCUGAAUGAAUACACGAGACUCGCUGUGUUGUCACCAGAAAGUUUACUGCAGGAAACAUCGACAUGGAAAAAGCCAAGAAUGGGAAGCGUCUGCCAGCAUUCCUUUAUAUACCCUUCCCCCUCAUUUGAAGAAGCAUUUCCCGCCCAACAAAACCCCGCGAAGUUUCCCCGCCAAGUCCAGCAGCCGUUUCUUCUCAGGAUCCCAAGAUGCAGGUGUCUUAUCAGUCCACAUUGUCAGUGACCCUGAAACUCAGAGCUAUACCCAGGCUCUAGUAGCAGGGUUCUGACAACGGCAUCCUCCUCCCCUUCGUCCUGAAAGAAAAAGAUUAAAUACAACUAUUGUUC